UUUAUUAGUCUGGCCGGAAAAUCAGUCUGCUACAAUUCUUCGCGUGGUAAUGACGCGUAGAAGCCCGUGGAGGGGAUGUGGAACAAAGUUACGGAAAGGACAUAGGUUUUUUACUUGUAUCCGUAUAUUUUAAAAUAGCACGUACACAAGAAUAACAUGAGAAAAAGUGUCGGUGGAGUAUUGCAUAUGGCUUCUAUUGCAGAUUUACAGUUUCCAGCUGAUGGAUCUGUUAAGGGGUAAAGUAUCUAGCUGUGAGAGUUGGUUAGAGAAUCUGUUAAGUCUUCAGUUUAAUUUGCUGGAACUAAUUGUUAAUUUAGUAUUACAGGUUAUUAUUCUAGAAUUUCAAAUGCCAAGAACAAUGAGAUAGUAAAGUUGGGCGAAGUAAUUCUGGUUCUCUUAAUUUUAUAGUUGACUGGCUUUGUGCUGCUUUUAUUCGUUGAUUCUAAACAACAAAUGUGUUGUAAAACUACACUUUUUUUGCUACCCUAUUGAGAAGCUUGAUUUAUCUGGUAGCUAACUUGAAUAGCCAAAAGAGAUUAUUUAACCAAAAAACAAAUGCGACGCUCGCCACAUCUACUGGAAGUCAACACCAAUCUCUGAAGGUGGAUAAAUCGUUCACAGUGGGCCUAGCAGGCGAAGUAGCUAUUUCCUCGUUGAACAAUAUGGUGCUCAAAGAGGUCGAUGUGUUUCUCAAUUUGGAUCAUCCUCAAACCAAAAUAGGUUGCUAAUUCCGAAUAAAUUAUUAGUUUUUCCAUUAA